rfam:Equus caballus chromosome 4, whole genome shotgun sequence.
GGAUGUAAGAGUGAUCUGGCUGUGAUGUCUGUCACCCCAUUGUUCGCCAGGGUUAGUUUGACUGAUCUAGUUGGCUUGGUGGUUUCUCUUUUUUCUCCCAUAGCUCCCCUUCCUCCCUAGAAGCUGCACACUCAGUGGAACAGGAUGAUAUUCCCUGAAAGAAGAAGACCAUAAGGGCAGUCCUCGAUCAAUUGUAAACAAAUAGCUGUGCUCCCCUUAGAACUUCCAAACAAGCUCUCAAGGUCCAUUUGUAGAACACAGGGUAUUCAAUCUUCCAAGUCCCCAGACACAUCCAAAUGAGGGAUUGCCUGUGGCAGUCUGCCCUAAGAA